AUUGAACGCUGGCGGCAGGCCUAACACAUGCAAGUCGAACGGUAACAGGAAGAAGCUUGCUUCUUUGCUGACGAGUGGCGGACGGGUGAGUAAUGUCUGGGAAACUGCCUGAUGGAGGGGGAUAACUACUGGAAACGGUAGCUAAUACCGCAUAACGUCGCAAGCCCAAAGAGGGGGACCUUCGGGCCUCUUGCCAUUGGCUGUGCCCAGAUGGGAUUAGCUAGUAGGUGGGGUAACGGCUCACCUAGGCGACGAUCCCUAGCUGGUCUGAGAGGAUGACCAGCCACACUGGAACUGAGACACGGUCCAGACUCCUACGGGAGGCAGCAGUGGGGAAUAUUGCACAAUGGGCGCAAGCCUGAUGCAGCCAUGCCGCGUGUAUGAAGAAGGCCUUCGGGUUGUAAAGUACUUUCAGCGGGGAGGAAGGGAGUAAAGUUAAUACCUUUGCUCAUUGACGUUACCCGCAGAAGAAGCACCGGCUAACUCCGUG
rnacentral:rRNA from 1 species